AGCGAACGCUGGCGGCAGGCUUAACACAUGCAAGUCGAACGGGCACUUCGGUGUCAGUGGCAGACGGGUGAGUAACGCGUGGGAACAUACCUCUUGGUUCGGAACAACACAGGGAAACUUGUGCUAAUACCGGAUAAGCCCUUACGGGGAAAGAUUUAUCGCCGAGAGAUUGGCCCGCGUCUGAUUAGCUAGUUGGUGUGGUAAAAGCGCACCAAGGCGACGAUCAGUAGCNGGUCUGAGAGGAUGAUCAGCCACAUUGGGACUGAGACACGGCCCAAACUCCUACGGGAGGCAGCAGUGGGGAAUAUUGGACAAUGGGCGCAAGCCUGAUCCAGCCAUGCCGCGUGAGUGAUGAAGGCCCUAGGGUUGUAAAGCUCUUUUAGUCAGGGAAGAAACGGUGGGAGCUAAUAUCUCUCACUAAUGACGGUACCUGAAGAAUAAGCACCGGCUAACUACGUGCCAGCAGCCGCAGUAAC
rnacentral:rRNA from 1 species